rnacentral:rRNA from 1 species
CCUACGGGUGGCUGCAGUGGGGAAUAUUGGGCAAUGGACGCAAGUCUGACCCAGCAACGCCGCGUGAAGGAAGAAGGCUUUCGGGUUGUAAACUUCUUUUAAGGGGGAAGAACAGAAGGCGGUACCCCUUGCAUAAGCCACGGCUAACUACGUGCCAGCAGCCGCGGUUAUACGUAGGUGGCAAGCGUUUUCCGGAUUUACUGGGUGUAAGGGCGUGCAGCCGGAGAGGCAAGUCAGGUGUGAAAUCCGCGGGCUCAACUCGCGAACUGCAGUUGAAACUGCUUCCCUUGAGUAUCGGAGAGGUAAGCGGAAUGCGUAGUGUAGCGGUGAAAUGCGUAGAUAUUAGGAAGAACACCAGUGGCGAAGGCGGAUUACUGGACGACAACUGACGGUGAGGCGCGAAAGCGUGGGGAGCAAACAGGAUUAGAUACCCGAGUAGUC